GAUGAACGCUGGCGGCGUGCCUAAUACAUGCAAGUCGAGCGAACAGACGAGGAGCUUGCUCCUCUGACGUUAGCGGCGGACGGGUGAGUAACACGUGGAUAACCUACCUAUAAGACUGGGAUAACUUCGGGAAACCGGAGCUAAUACCGGAUAAUAUAUUGAACCGCAUGGUUCAAUAGUGAAAGACGGUUUUGCUGUCACUUAUAGAUGGAUCCGCGCCGCAUUAGCUAGUUGGUAAGGUAACGGCUUACCAAGGCAACGAUGCGUAGCCGACCUGAGAGGGUGAUCGGCCAGAUUGGAACUGAGACACGGUCCAGACUCCUACGGGAGGCAGCAGUAGAGAAUCUUACGCAAUGGGCGAAAGCCUGACGGAGCAACGCCGCGUGAGUGAUGAAGGUCUUCGGAUCGUAAAACUCUGUUAUUAGGGAAGAACAAAUGUGUAAGUAACUAUGCACGUCUUGACGGUACCUAAUCAGAAAGCCACGGCUAACUACGUG
rnacentral:rRNA from 1 species